GACGAACGCUGGCGGCGUGCUUAACACAUGCAAGUCGAGCGGAGCGGCGAACGGGUGAGUAACGCGGGAGUAACUGCCCCCCUCCCUGGGAUAACAGUUGGCAACGGCUGCUAAUACCGGAUAGGAGGGGAUGACUCGGGUCCUAUCAGCUUGUUGGUGGGGUAGUGGCCUACCAAGGCGACGACGGGUAGCCGGCCUGAGAGGGGGAACGGCCACAAUGGGCUGAGAUACGGACCAAACGCGUACGGGAGGCAGCAGUGGGGAAUAUUGCACAAUCGGGGAAACCCUGAUGCAGCGACGCGCGUGCGUGAUGACGGCCUUCGGGUUGUAAACAGCUUUCAGCCAUGACGCGGUAGUGGCAGAAGAAGCACCGGCUAACUACGUGCCAGCAGCCGCGGUAAUUC
rnacentral:rRNA from 1 species